rnacentral:rRNA from 1 species
UACGAAGGGGGCUAGCGUUGUUCGGAAUUACUGGGCGUAAAGCGCACGUAGGCGGACUAUUAAGUCAGGGGUGAAAUCCCGGGGCUCAACCCCGGAACUGCCUUUGAUACUGGUAGUCUCGAGUCCGGAAGAGGUGAGUGGAAUUCCGAGUGUAGAGGUGAAAUUCGUAGAUAUUCGGAGGAACACCGGUGGCGAAGGCGGCCAUCUGGACGGAUACUGACGCUGAGACGCGAAAGCGUGGGGAGCAAACAGG